AUAGCCUCCUAUUAAGGUGCGUGAUAAUGAGUCCAAUAUUCUAAAUAGAUAUUGAAAGCAUCACACGUUUGGUGUCUAUUAGGUAUUGAAAUUAUCAUUCAUCAUAUAACCAUCUUGUUGUGCCUUUCAGAUCAAUGCUCAGGUUGGUCAAACCAGACUCAGGCCUAGACAUUCAUUUAUUGGAUGCACUUAGUAUAGUCAUGUUAAUGGUUAGACUUAAUCAGAUUUCAAUGGAGGCGCCACACGCCUGCUGAAGAGAUGCUUGGGGCAAAACUUAAUUGCUAAAAAUUAUUUAAAGAAAUAAUUAGUUAGGAAUCUAUCCAUGGAUGCACUA
rnacentral:lncRNA from 1 species